AAAAAAAUCAUUUAGUUUGCAUCAUUUGCAUUUCUAGGAGAGUCUAGAGCAUAUAGGUUGCAUUCACUUGCAUUGGGAGCAAUGAUUUUAAAUGCCUUGUAAAGAACACUACUUUGCACCUGAGUAGCUUAUGCACCUCUCAAAAGGACUUGUAUGCUUCGAGCCUUGAAAACUCUUCCUGAAACUUGUUGAUUGCUGAAACUCAGUCUUUGAAGCCAACUACAACCUUAUUUGAACUGAACGAACUUAAUGCAUCUUGCUCAUGGUCCCUUGUGUACUGAAUCAUGGAUAUACACACUUGAGUUGUCACAUCCUUUAUGCCAAUCUUUUUGACAACCUCUAGUGGUAGACCUCUCCCCAAAAUCUAUUCCUCCUUUUAAGCCUUCAUUGAUUGAUGAGUGAGGCCUUUUUCGGAAAGUCUUACAUGCACAUAAUGUUGAGAGUAUCGGGAACGACAAUGCUUGAUCUUCAUUCUUGCUAGAUUAGGCACAUUAUUGUCUAGCCAUAGGAUGGGGGUGAGUGUUGUGAAGUUUGAUUUGGGAGUAUGAGAAAGUUGAAGGAAAAGAGUGAACUCUUGUGUUUAAUUGACUAGUCUUUAUGGGAUAAGUAGAGAAACUUCUAGCUCAAUUUGUGAAAAGUCUUGGCCCCA
rnacentral:lncRNA from 1 species